CCCCACAGUGGGAGCCUUAGGUCAGGAGACACAUGUCCGACCAUCCUAAGUCAAGCACACCUGGGAGAGGUGAGGGCGGAGUCUGGCUCCAGGGGCCAGGAUGGCUGUGAAUGCAGGGACCUGGAAAGGGCGGAGUGUCCGCUGGAGGCGCGUGGGCUGGUGUGCAAGAAACAGUGGCUCCUCUUGCCUUUCAGAGAAGGAGUGCCGUGCUGGCGUGGGGAGCUGCGUUCUGUGAGCCGCCAGCCGGCUUCCCCUCCCACAGCCACUCCAGGUGGAGCUUUACUUUGGCACCAAGUUGCUGGUUGUCUCCUGACUUGACCACGUCGAAUCUGGCCCUGUAGAUUGCAACGGGGCUGCUCUCAGGAAUCCUGGAACUCUCACCACCAGCUUCCAGGGAGAGGACAUUUUUCAACCCUCUGGAGAGUCUGAGUGCGGACAGCUCACUGGCAGAAGAUCGGGAUUGUGGUGACCUGCAAGGCCAACUGCUGCGUGCACUGUUCCAGCGUGUCGUGAUGUGGAGGACUGGUCCGGAGAGGCCCCUGCUCAGGAUCGGAAGCAUCGUCGUGCUUGCAGCCAAGAGCAAAGCAAAGAGCGUUUGCAGCCGACCAGCCCUCGUCCUGCAGCAGAGCCCGAUGGACGGCGGCCCACUCAGCCUGCAAUGCCGUAAUACUUUAUUUCAACAUGAUAUGACAUCAUUAAAGACACUUUAUGUUGUUUUUGUCUGUGGUUUGGAAUUAUGUCUGCUUAAUCAAUUCCAUUAUGCAUUCAACUUUCACGACACAUCAAAGGCCGAUAAGGUUUUUAUUUAUUUUUUUUAAACUUUGCUUGCUUAAAAUGAUUUCCCUCCAGAUCAAGAUGCAGAGCACAAAAUAUUAAUCAGUUUAAAUAAAUAUCAAGACUACCCAAAUAAUAUGAAUAAUUGGCACGGGAUUGCGCCUACUGCCCACUUCCCAGCAGCUGGUCACGCUGGCACGAGGCUCCUCUCAACAGUCUCUGAGAUAAUGACUUUGGCAUCUGCUGACGAGUGCUUGCGACUGCCCACAGAAUUUACAACUCACAAGUGGGAAACAGAGGCUCCGACAGAACUUUUUUAUGCAAGGUCUUUGAAAUUUAUUAAUGUAAUGCAAACACGAGCCUUCCAACCCAUUAAAUUGUUGAUGUUAUGCGAGCCCACUCUGGAAUUGCAGAUCCUCAUUAGCAUUAUUUGCAUGUUAAUCUGCAUCUUUUUAAUUAGUGAUAUUAUUUAUGCACAUAAUUUCGCCUACUGGUGCCAAGGCUGAAGCGCAUUAAUUAAUCUACUGAGAUGCCAAACUGUUUAUUUUCCCCCGUACUUUUAUUUGUUUACAUGGUGUUUUGGAUUCAGGGAAAAUAAAAAAGGGCCUGAAGAAUAAAAGCAGAAAGACAAGAUUAACUAAAA